rnacentral:rRNA from 1 species
ACGGGUGAGUAAUGCAUAGAUAAUGUGCCCCUUAGUUCGGGAUAGCCACUGGAAACGGUGAUUAAUACCGGAUACUCCUUCUUGUUAUAAGACAAGUCGGGAAAGUUUUUCGCUAAGGGAUCAGUCUAUGUUCCAUCAGCUUGUUGGUGAGGUAAUGGCUCACCAAGGCUAUGACGGAUAUCUGGUUUGAGAGGAUGAUCAGACACACUGGAACUGAGACACGGUCCAGACUCCUACGGGAGGCAGCAGUGAGGAAUAUUGCACAAUGGAGGAAACUCUGAUGCAGCAACGCCGCGUGGAGGAUGACGCAUUUCGGUGUGUAAACUCCUUUUAUUAGGGAAGAUAAUGACGGUACCUAAUGAAUAAGCACCGGCUAACUCCGUGCCAGCAGCCGCGGUAAUACGGAGGGUGCAAGCGUUACUCGGAAUCACUGGGCGUAAAGGGUGCGUAGGCUGGCUUUUAAGUCAGAUGUGAAAUCCAAUGGCUCAACCAUUGAACUGCAUUUGAAACUGAAAGCCUAGAGUUCAGAAGGGGCAGAUGGAAUUAGUGGUGUAGGGGUAAAAUCCGU